AGGGGUCCUCCGUUUGGUGAACCAGCGGAGGGAUCAUUA
rnacentral:rRNA from 1 species